CUUGAGUUAUUAUGAAGUAGUUAGAAUAUGUAGUGUAGCGGUGAAAUGCAUAGAUAUUACAUAGGAUACCAAUUGCGAAGGCAGAUUACUAAUAAUAUACUGACACUGAUGGACGAAAGCGUAGGUAGCGAACGGGAUUAGAUACCCCGGUAGUCUACGCCGUAAACGAUGGAUACUAGCUGUUCGGACUUCGGUUUGAGUGGCUAAGCGAAAGUGAUAAGUAUCCCACCUGGGGAGUACGUUCGCAAGAAUGAAACUCAAAGGAAUUGACGGGGGCCCGCACAAGCGGUGGAGCAUGUGGUUUAAUUCGAUGAUACGCGAGGAACCUUACCAGGGCUUAAAUGUAGAUUGACAGGUUUAGAGAUAGACUUUUCUUCGGACAAUUUACAAGGUGCUGCAUGGUUGUCGUCAGCUCGUGCCGUGAGGUGUCAGGUUAAGUCCUAUAACGAGCGCAACCCCUGUUGUUAGUUGCCAGCGAGUGAUGUCGGGAACUCUAACAAGACUGCCAGUGCAAACUGUGAGGAAGGUGGGGAUGACGUCAAAUCAUCACGGCCCUUACGUCCUGGGCUACACACGUGCUACAAUGGUAGGGACAGAGAGCAGCCACUGCGCGAGCAGGAGCGAAUCUAUAAACCCUAUCACAGUCCGGAUCGGAGUCUGCAACUC
rnacentral:rRNA from 1 species